ensembl:lncRNA
UGAUGAUAUCACUUAAUAAAUUACUUGUUCAUAAAAGAUUGCUUUCUCUGGGAAAGUUUCCCAAAUUUAAAACAUCUGAUCUUGUUUGCAGUUUCAGUUAUUGUGUUAUCUAUAUGGUAACCUACCCAUAUGGAAAAGAUAUAUAUAAAUCUUAUAAAGUUUGUAUCUGUCUUGUGUGAAACUUGUAUGAAAAGCAUACAAGAGUGAAAACAGAUAUAAGAUCCCUUGAAAAAUUAUAUAAAUGAAACUUGUAUGUUUUGGAUACUUACUAAAACAAUAUAUGAAGGUAAUGAGAAAGUGGCCACUUUCAUGAGUAAAUCAUAUAAGCCUUAUAUGAUUCACUAUAUGAAGUAGGCCACAUCUUAUGCAAGUCUUUUAUAAGUUUUAACUAUUUCCUUUCCAUAUGGGUACUUACUGCCACUUUUGCUGGUCAUUGUGCUUGUUGCAUUGUAAAGGAACUGUAGGGGGCGGCGCAAACACUGUUAUCGUCACCAUGUUAGUGGUUGACCUAAUAUGGUUACUUCUACCCUUAAACACAAUGAUUUUUCACUUAAUCUUAAGUUGGAUCCGUUUUUUUUACUUGUGAUUCUGUGCCUUUUUGCAUCUGUCUUGCCUUUUGUUUUAAUCACCUGCCAUUACAACACGUACCAUGGGAUGAAAACUGCUGCCAGUAGAGCUUGUAUUAUAGUGAUUUUAUUUCCCUUCAGAAAAUUUAUAGUGUAUAAAUUCAUAUAUGCCUGAAUCUGUGCACUAAUCAUUCUUUAGAACAGGGGUAGGGAACGUUAGUCCUCGAGAGCCGGUGUCCUGCAGGUUUUAGAUCUCACCCUGGGUCACCACACCUGACUCAAAUGAUUAGGUCAUUACCAGGCCUCUGGAGAACUUCAAGAAAUGUUGCAGAGGUAAUUUAGCCAUUUAAAUCAGCUGUGUUGGAUCAAGGACACAUCUAAAACCUGCAGGACACCGGCUCUCGAGGCCUGGAGUUCCCUACCCCUGCUUUAGAAGAACCACUUCUCAAGCUUCAUAACGCUAAACCCAGCUUAUAAAUAUAUAUACCCAAAAUAUAUAUGGUUUUGUUUUAUCUUGUCCUACCCAGCAGCCUAAACCAACUGGGUGUUCUGACUUAAUCAAUAAAAGCAUUUAUAUGUAAAAAUCAAUAAAGACAUAUUCAGUCUGAUGGCAGCAAUGUGGAACAAGUGAAGUCCAAAUUAAUGUGGAUUAAUUAAUUAAGGAAAAUUCACUGAACACACUUCAUGCACAUACUGGAAGCUCAGAGAUAGUGGAUGAAGACUUUUGUUUAUUCAAAAUAUUCAAGUUUGUUCAGGAUUCUGAGGUUUUGUUUCAGUUAGUCUUUUUUCCUUUUUUAUGUAGUCUGCACCACUUCUUUUUGUAUUUAUACUCAGUAUAUCAUAAUGUUUAAAUGAUUUCCUAACAUGAUGCCAUGUUUUACAUGUGGAUGCUGUAAUAUUAGUUGUGACACACUGGUUUUGCUGCAA